CCCCCGGGCCAUGCUUGCUGUUGUUCCUCAAAGGUGCUGUGGCUCUCAAGCUUCACCAGCUCAUCCUUCUGACCAAGUCUGACUGAUUCUCUCCAACUCAGCCCAAGCAAGGCUCUUCAGAGAAGCCCAGCAAGUCAGCUUCUUGAUCCCAGAGAGCAGGAACACUUGUGUUUGCCCAGAUAUCUGGACACUGUGGCCUAGCCAAGGUGACACAUAAAGUUAAACAUCACACUGUAUGAUCCAGUGCUGGCCAAUGGGAUGUUAGCAAAAGUGAUUGAGUACCCAGGGCUUCCUGAAGAGGGAGACAGCUAUGCUGGCCCGUGUCAUGGUACUUCUUCUUCACCCUUCCUGUCCAAGAGGCAGUUUAUCAUCCUCAUACUAAACUCUUGUACCUGUGGAAAUGUCCUCAGUGACCAAAGAAUUCACCAUCUCUCAUCUCUCCCCUGGAGUUGCCAUGGUCACAGCCAUUCAGGUGGUCUCAGGCUGCAUCAUCAAAGAUAUUGAGUUCAGAACAAG
ensembl:lncRNA